UAUAGUAUCAGACUAUUUAAGUUAUCCAAACUUCUUUUAUUAAUUGAUUAGCCACAAUAUUUGAUUUAAUGAUUACCAGUUGUAGGGGUCUAUACUGGCAAACACUAUUGUUUUUUUUUCUCUAACUAAAUUUAUUUCCAUUAAGUCAUAGUUACUAAACUUUCUUGACGAGGAGGAUAAUUUACAACAGCUAUAUACUUGAUGAUUUUGAUUAAGUCUUUCUAUGUAUGUGUGUGUUAAUAUAUGGUUGGUUUUUUUUUUUCUUUUUUUGAGACGGAGUCUCCCUCUGUCCCAGGCUGGAGUGCACUGGCGUGAUCUCGGCUCACUGCAAGCUCCGCCUCCCAGGGUUCAAGCGAUUCUCCUGCCUCAGCCUUCCAAGUGGCUAGGAUUACAGGCAUGCACCACCAUGCCCAGCUAAUUUUUAUAUUUUUAGUAGAGACAGGGUUUUACCAUGUUGGCCAGGCUGGUCUCGAACUCCUGACCUCAGGUGAUCCGCCUGCCUCGGCCUUCCAAAGUGCUGGGAUUACAGGCGUGAGCCACCGCACCCAGCAGAAUAUACAGUUUUUAAAAAUCACUUAAUCUGUAAAUUAAAACAUAACAUGUUGAACUCACCAAGGAAUCUAAACAUUAUUAUUCUCCAUCCUUAACAAUCUACAGAGAUAAGAGACAAGUCAUUUCAGGUUUUCUUCUGCCUUUUUUAACUGAGGGAGAUUUUUACAUUGAAUUUUGAUUUCUAGAGCAAGAAAGUCCUGACUAGUCAAGGCCAUCACUGAGAUAAAUUUCUUUAACCAUCCCCCUUGUGUUGGAUCAAGAAGUUAAAGAAUCUAGGAGCUGUCAUUUUUGGUAAUUCAAUAUCUAAAUGAAAGAAAGAUAGAAUAAGAUAAAAGACUUACCGUUGAUUCUGAAUUACUUAACAAUGAAAUACUGAAUUCCAAUGAAGUCUUACGAAAAAGAAACAGUCUCUCUCGAUCCUAAAUGUCACCUUGAGAGACCCUUGGACCUCAUGCUCAUUUUGCUAUGUAAAUAGAAUUAAUUUUAUCUUGAAAGAACAGUGGAGUGACAGUUAAGGGGCUUCUAUUUUCUAUUCUGCCACUAACUGCUACUAUGAACUUGCAUAAGGUACUUCAAAUUCUUUGGAUCGCUGUUUCCUCAAUUAUAAAAGAGAAAGUUGGUCUAGAACUGGCAAUUUCCAAACUGUGCCUCUGAAUCCUUAGGAUUGCAAGGAACCAGCAGAAGUCUUGACCGUUCACUUUUUUUUUCUGGUUUGCAUAUGGAUCUUAGCAAAAUUUAAUUUGAGGAAAGGAAAAUGACUUAAAAAGUUUGAAAAACAUUAAAUGAAAAAAAUUGUGAAGCUGUAUCUUGAUUUGAUAAUUCUAAUCUGUAACCUAUUUUGUUUUGUAACUAUGCUAGAGAACAUUGGAGUGAACAGAAUUGUCAUAUUCUUGGCUUCUACUUUUAAAUAGAGGUUGUAAAAAGAAUUCCUAAACCGUAUAGAAAGGAGGGCUAGAAAACACAAACUGGAAGGUGAGAUCUUAGUACAAUUUUAACUGAGCUUAUAUGUGAUGUCAAGACAACUGCUGAACAUGGUGUGCACACCUCUCAGCCAGGUCUGCUCUUUCCCUGGGCCACAAUGCUACACAGUCCCAGGGGGCACCACCGUGUUGGAGUUUAACUGAACAGUGCCCUUGAAUGAUGUUGAGCGAUGCAUCGCCUAUGUGGCUUAUAGCAGGCGUGGCUUUUUCAUCAUUUGGUCAAGAGCUACUUCUAUUUCAAGGUCUACUUCAGAGAUCCUAGCAUGAUUCACACCCUCUUACUACCUCCUUUCUUCAAAAUUAGUUUCUCCCUCCUUUGUGAUUUCAGGGUAUUUUGUGUUAACCUUUUAAAGAAUGCUAUGCCAUUAUAUUAUAGUUAAUAGUGUUUGGGUGCCCAUCUCCCUUGUUAGGUUUUGAGCUUUUAGAAGGCAGGAGCUGGGUUUUAAUCUUAUUUGAAUUUUUUUUUGUGGUUUUUGUUUGUUUGUUUGUUUAUUUUUUGGUUUUGAAACAGGAUCUUCCUUUGUCUCCCAGCCUGGAAUGCAGUGGCACAAUCACUGCUCACUGCAGCCUUGACCGUCUGGACUCAAGUGAUUCUCCUACUUCAACCUCCCAAGUAGCUGGGACUACAGUCAUGCACCAUCAUGCCUAUAAAGAUAAUUUAAUUUAUAAUAAAUUAUUUAUACAAACAAUAACAUUCAGUAUAUUUUUCCAAGACCUUGAUAAAAUAUGAUAGUGGUAUUCUUUUCUUGCCAUAUAUACUCAACCAUUCAAUUCAACCAACAAAUACCAUGAUGAUUGUGUGCUACUCUACAUGUUAAGGGGGUG
rnacentral:lncRNA from 10 species